rnacentral:rRNA from 1 species
UGGGGAAUAUUGCACAAUGGGCGCAAGCCUGAUGCAGCCAUGCCGCGUGUGUGAAGAAGGCCUUCGGGUUGUAAAGCACUUUCAGCGAGGAGGAAGGGUAGUGUGUUAAUAGCACAUUGCAUUGACGUUACUCGCAGAAGAAGCACCGGCUAACUCCGUGCCAGCAGCCGCGGUAAUACGGAGGGUGAAAGCGUUAAUCGGAAUUACUGGGCGUAAAGCGCACGCAGGCGGUUUGUUAAGUCAGAUGUGAAAUCCCCGCGCUUAGCGUGGGAACUGCAUUUGAAACUGGCAAGCUAGAGUCUUGUAGAGGGGGGUAGAAUUCCAGGUGUAGCGGUGAAAUGCGUAGAGAUCUGGAGGAAUACCGGUGGCGAAGGCGGCCCCCUGGACAAAGACUGACGCUCAGGUGCGAAAGCGUGGGGAGCAAACA